rnacentral:rRNA from 1 species
AAGGGUCCGUAGGCGGGCAUAUAAGUCAGAGGUGAAAGUUUGCAGCUCAACUGUAAAAUUGCCUUUGAUACUGUAUGUCUUGAGUUAUAGUGAAGUUGCCGGAACAUGUGGUGUAGCGGUGAAAUGCAUAGAUAUCACAUAGAACACCAAUUGCGAAGGCAGGUGACUAACUAUAUACUGACGCUGAUGGACGAAAGCGUGGGGAGCGAACGGGAUUAGAUACCCCGGUAGUCCACGCCGUAAACGAUGGAUACUAGCUGUCGGGACUUCGGUCUCGGCGGCCAAGCGAAAGUGAUAAGUAUCCCACCUGGGGAGUACGUUCGCAAGAAUGAAACUCAAAGGAAUUGACGGGGGCCCGCACAAGCGGUGGAGCAUGUGGUUUAAUUCGAUGAUACGCGAGGAACCUUACCAGGGCUUAAAUGUAGAUUGCAUUAGGCAGAGAUGCUUAUUUCUUCGGACUAUCUACAAGGUGCUGCAUGGUUGUCGUCAGCUCGUGCCGUGAGGUGUCAGGUUAAGUCCUAUAACGAGCGCAACCCCUACCGUUAGUUGCUAGCAGGUCAUGCUGAGGACUCUAACGGGACUGCCGGUGCAAACCGUGAGGAAGGUGGGGACGACGUCAAAUCAUCACGGCCCUUACGUCCUGGGCCACACACGUGCUACAAUGGCCGGUACAGAGGGAAGCCACCACGUAAGUGGGCGCGGAUCUAUAAAACCGGUCACAGUUCGGAUCGGGGUCUGCAACUCGACCCCGUGAAGCUGGAAUCGCUAGUAAUCGGAUAUCAGCCAUGAUCCGGUGAAUACGUUCCCGGGCCUUGUACACACCGCCCGUCAAGCCAUGGAAGCUGGGAGUGCCUGAAGUCCGUCACCGUAAGGAGCGGCCUA